rnacentral:rRNA from 1 species
AUUGAACGCUGGCGGCAUGCCUAACACAUGCAAGUCGAGCGAGCGGCGGACGGGUGAGUAAUGUCUGGGAACCUGCCUGCUGGAGGGGGAUAACUACUGGAAACGGUAGCUAAUACCGCAUACCAUCAGAUGUGCCCAGAUGGGAUUAGCUAGUGGGUGGGGUAACGGCUCACCUAGGCGACGAUCCCUAGCUGGUCUGAGAGGAUGACCAGCCAAACUGGAACUGAGAAACGGUCCAGACCCCUCCGGGAGGCAGAAGUGGGGAAUAUUGCAAAAGGGGCGCAAGCCGGAUGCAGCCAUGCCGCGUGGGUGAAGAAGGCCUUCGGGUGGUAAAGCACUUUCAGCGGGGAGGCGGUACCCGAAGAAGAAGCACCGGCUAACUCCGUGCCAGCAGCCGCGGUAAUAC